AUGGGGGCCCCGAUCACACACUGGGUCUGUUUAACACCAAGUGAACUGGGGGCCCUGAUCCUGCUCGCUAGCGACACGGCCCCGUCUGUCUUCCCCCUGACCUCCUGCACCGGCGAAGUCACCACCUCCCCGGUCACCUUCGGCUGCCUGGCCAACGGCUACUUCCCUGAGCCAGUCACCGUGACAUGGAGCCCCAACGUCAGCUCCUCGGGCGUGAGGACCUAUCCCUCCGUGCUGCAACCUUCCAGCGGCCUCUACUCGCUCAGCAGCCAGGUCACCGUCCCGGCCACCAGCUGGAAGUCUAACACCUAUAGCUGCACCGUACAGCACCAGCCCACCAGCUCCAGCAUCUCCAAGGAAAUCCCAAAGUCCAUUAAACCUAAGGUGGAAGUGCUCUACUCCUGCACCACCAACCCAGGCACCGUCCAGCUGGUGUGCUUAAUCUCUGGCUUCAACCCUAAGCCUUUGACGGUGCAAUGGAUGGUGGCCGGCAAGCCCAGUGGCGCCGCCACUACCACGGAGGAAGCCGACGGCCACACCUUCAGUGUCUCCGAGAGCGAGUGGCUGGAGGGCAAGACGUACACGUGCGAGGUGUCCCAGACGGGCACCACACCAAUGCAGGCCCACGCCCACAAGUGCGGAGAAGAAAGAACGUCUCCCAGCAACAUCCAGGUCUUCCUGGUGCCCCCGUCUCCUGCCACCCUGUAUGUGGCCCAGAGCCCCAUGCUCAACUGCCUGGUGGUCAACCUGCCUAGCGACUCUGGCCUCCAGGUGGUCUGGUCCCGAGAGAAGCCGGGGUCCAUUGUCCCUGAACCCCUGAACCUCACUGAGCAGCUCAACAGCACCAUCACCGCCUCCAGCUCCAUGCCCAUCUUCACCCGCGACUGGGAGGCUGGAGAGAACUUCACCUGCACAGUGAAGCACUCAGAGCUGCCCUCACCCCUCAUCAAAUCAAUCUCCAAGAAGCCAGGCAGACGCUCUGGCCCUGGCAUCUACCUCCUGCACCCCCACAACGAGGAGCUGAGCAGCUCCGAAGAGUCCAUCAGCCUCACCUGCCUGGUGAGGGGCUUCUUCCCCGAGGACAUCUCGGUGCAGUGGAUGAAGAACCACAAACCCGAUGAGAGUUUGGAAUACAUCACCACCCAGCCCAUCAAGGACGGAGCCGGCGACUCGAACUUCUUCCUCUACAGCAAGCUGACAGCCAGCAAGGCCAGCUGGAACACUGGGGACAUCUACACCUGCAUGGUCAUCCACGAAGCCCUGCAGAUGAAGUUCACCCAACGCAGCGUCAGCAAAGUCUCUGAGGUGAUCGUGUCAGGUGAGUUUUGCAGCGAGGACGGAGACGAGGAGCUGGACGGCCUCUGGUCCACCAUCUCGGUCUUCAUCACCCUCUUCCUCUUGAGCGUGUGCUACAGCGCCACCAUGACCCUGUUCAAGGUGAAGUGGCUUUUCUCUGCCAUGGUGCAGCUGAAGCAGGCGAGUGGCCCCGAGUACAAGAAUGUGAUCCAGGGCGUGGUGUAG